rnacentral:rRNA from 1 species
GAUGAACGCUGGCGGCGUGCCUAAUACAUGCCAGUCGAGCGAACGGACGAGAAGCUUGCUUCUCUGAUGUUAGCGGCGGACGGGUGGGUAACACGUGGAUAACCUACCUAUAAAACUGGGAUAACUGCGGGAAACCGCGUCUAAUACCGGAUAAUAUUUUGACCGGCAUGGUCUACAAGUGAAAAACGGUUUUGCUCUCACUUAUAACUGGACCCCCGCUGCAUUUGCUGGUUGGUAAGGUAACGGCUUACCAAGGCAACGAUGCAUAGCCGACCGGAGAGGGUGAUCGGCCACACGGGAACUGAGACACGGUCCAGACUCCUACGGGAGGCAGCAGUAGGGAAUCUUCCGCAAUGGGCGAAAGCCUGACGGAGCGACGCCGCGUGAGUGAUGAAGGUCUUCGGAUCGUAAAACUCGGUUAUUAGGGAAGAACAUAUGUGUAAGUAACUGUGGACAUCUUGACGGUACCUAAUCAGAAAGCCACGGCUAACUACGUG